rnacentral:rRNA from 1 species
GUGGGGAAUCUUCCGCAAUGGACGAAAGUCUGACGGAGCAACGCCGCGUGAGUGAUGAAGGUCUUCGGAUUGUAAAGCUCUGUUAAUCGGGACGAAAGAGCCUAGUGUGAAUAAUGCUAGGAAGUGACGGUACCGGAAUAGAAAGCCACGGCUAACUACGUGCCAGCAGCCGCGGUAAUACGUAGGUGGCAAGCGUUGUCCGGAAUUGUUGGGCGUAAAGCGCGCGCAGGCGGAUCUGCCAGUCUGUCUUAAAAGUUCGGGGCUUAACCCCGUGAUGGGAUGGAAACUACAGAUCUAGAGUAUCGGAGAGGAAAGUGGAAUUCCUAGUGUAGCGGUGAAAUGCGUAGAUAUUAGGAAGAACACCAGUGGCGAAGGCGACUUUCUGGACGAAAACUGACGCUGAGGCGCGAAAGCCAGGGGAGCGAACGGGAUUAGAAACCCUAGUAGUCC